UAUUUUCAAAUAGAGCAGGUGAUACACUUCUUGAAGUGUGUGGGCUGGGCUAGCGCAAGAGCCGGCAGCAGGAUAAAAUACCUGUGGGACUAUA
rnacentral:ncRNA from 2 species